rnacentral:rRNA from 1 species
CCUACGGGAGGCAGCAGUGAGGAAUAUUGGUCAAUGGGCGCGAGCCUGAUCCAGCCAAGUAGCGUGAAGGAUGACUGCCCUACGGGUUGUAAACUUCUUUUAUAAAGGAAUAAAGUGAGGCACGUGUGCCUUUUUGUAUGUACUUUAUGAAUAAGGAUCGGCUAACUCCGUGCCAGCAGCCGCGGUAAUACGGAGGAUCCGAGCGUUAUCCGGAUUUAUUGGGUUUAAAGGGAGCGUAGAUGGGUUGUUAAGUCAGUUGUGAAAGUUUGCGGCUCAACCGUAAAAUUGCAAUUGAUACUGGCAGUCUUGAGUACAGUUGAGGUAGGCGGAAUUCGUGGUGUAGCGGUGAAAUGCUUAGAGAUCACGAAGAACUCCGAUUGCGAAGGCAGCUUACUAAACUGCCACUGACAUUGAUGCUCGAAAGUGUGGGUAUCAAACAGGAUUAGAUACCCCAGUAGUC